GGAGAAGUCUUAAACCAAAUGGCAUUUGUGACCAAGCAGAGAAUUUUUGGAGACACCUCAUCCUCAAGUCAGUGCAUGCCCAAAAGCAAGUUCAUUUCUAACAGCGAAUUAACAGCAGAGACAUGAUCCUCCACCUUGAUCACCGGGAUUCUUGGCUCAGGGAGAAUUGUUUUCUGGAGAAAUCCUGGAGUUCAAAAAAGGCCUGAAGAAUCAUGUUGCCUACUUUAAGACAGAGAUUGGGUGGGAGGAAGGAAACCAGAUGAAUUGUGUUGCCUAAACAAUUUGUUAUGAAUUAUCCAGUCAACUGUAAGGAAAACAUAUGGACUAAAACUUCAAGAAAUUCCUCCAGCGGUUUAAAAUCCGAGCGAUGCUGAUAUUGAUCGGGUGUAUUUUAUGCAGCUUGGCUAAAUGAUGCUGCAGUGGCAGGAAAGGGCACCUGAGAGGACUGGGAUGGCAAAAAAUCCAGUGUACAAACCAGAAACUGUUUGAACUGGAGCUUAUGAUUGGGAGUGUGCAAAGUUAUUGAUAUUUUUUAAAGUGAAGGUCUUGUUUGGGAGAUAGUUAAGAACACAACUGACGCACAUUUCUAGCUCUGUUAUGCCCAUACCUAAUUGCUGCUAUGCACUAUUCCUGCGAAAGUUUAAUUUUUGCUGUUGAAAUUGCCUUUCUCAGCUUUUUCUUCAAUGGUUGAAGGAGAACACUGAACAAUGAGUUGACAAAGACUGAAAAAAGAUGUAUUUGCAUGGAAAUUACAGACCUUGAUGUUGAGGGCUCUCAAAUUCUAUAAACAAAAUAUACACUUAUGAUAGUAAUGGAAAAACUAUCCCCAAAAGGAAAACGUGAGAGUUUCAGAAUUUCGGCAAAAACCAAAAAGAGCCAUUUUCAUUCCAGCAGAAGCCUUCAAAAUGCUGUGUUUUAUUCAGACUCUGGGAAGAACAGCUGAGCCCUCUGAAUGCCCUCUGCCUCCCGAGGAGCCGAGGCUCCUCCUGCCGUGCCCCCGAUGGGCUGGGACGGGGCUGUGCCCUCCCCACGAAUGCCACCACCAAUUAAACCACGGUGAUGCAAAUGCAGAGCACGGCGCAGGGAACUCUGCUGCCUGCAUAAUGGCCGCCAUCGCCACCUGCAUCCCGUCACUCUCCUCCAGAGCACUGAAAUUACCCCUGGGACCAGUUUCUUGGUGGGACACCCCCCGGCACCACCGCCUCCAGCAAGGUGUGUGUGGAGCAGAACGGAGGGAAGGGCACGGGGCAGAGCCCUUGAUUUGGAAGAAAAGUUAUUCCUCAUCAAACCAACGGCCACAGUGCAGCUUGACUCUGAGCUUCUCUUUUUCCAUUAACUGCUUAGCAAAGGUUUUCCUCAUGUUUUGCGCUACAUCAAGGAGAUUUUAUGUUCACAUCACUUCAGCAACUUCUGCAUGGGCUGUUGCUGUUGUUACUGUCCACCAUGGCCAUAGCGCAGCGGCACCACCUGAGGAGCCGAGCGGUCUCCCGUGAGGUGCUCCCUGCAGAGCCGGCAGUGGGCACCCCAAUGGGGCAGCGCGGUUUAGCAGGAGGGGCUCUGGCAGGUUCCCAUUUCAGCCCCAGUUUGCGAUCCGUUCCCACACUGAUGGGUGUUUGCACUCGGUGCCGCCAUUCAAGGUAUCCCCUUGGAUUGUCACAUGCACAGCUCGCUUGGCUUAUUUGAUACCGCUCUCAGUCGGUUCAAAUCUUAUUUAUCAAAUAGACAGCAUUUUGUUUCGAUGGGUGAUUUUUCAUCUUCCAUUAGUGAAGUUGUUCCCAAGGUUCCCCAGGGCUCUAUAUUGGCCCCGUUGUUAUUUUGUGUUUAUAUGCUGCCACUGGGUUAUAUUAUUCAUCAGCAUGGAGUAGCUUUCCAUUUCUAUGCAGAUGAUUCUCAAAUUUAUUUGUCUGCGGAACCCAGUGCUGUCUCAGCUGUCUCCAUGCUAUCAGCCUGUCUCUCUGACAUCACAAGAUAGAUGUGGCCAAACUUUUUGCAGUUCAGUUCAGACAGUGGAGGUGACGCUGCCUCGAUGCCAGCAUUUCAUUUCCUGGGAUGAUGCCUGAGCACCGCUGCAGCUCUGGGUGGUGGGAUGGGGAACAGCUCCCCGCCUCUUGUUGGCACUCCCAGUUUGGGGCCUCUGUUUGCAAGCGUUGUGCAGAAGGGUUGUGUCCAGCUUACAGAUCUGCUAAGGCGCCAUGCGCCGUCAUUCCAGCAAAAUGAAAUCGAUGGUUUUGAAAUGCAUUGAUGUUUCUAAGUGUUGGUAGCACUUAAAGAACACGCCUGUAGGUACAGCCCCACGUAGCGCCAUGCACGCCCCUUCUGCAGCCACAGUGAAUGCGGUGUUUCUGUGAUGAGGGAGCAGUCAGUCCUGGCCCCUUGAGGACCAGUGCUGCUCUCUCAGAGUGAGCCCAGUUCCCUGUCCGUGGCUGUCCCAGAACUCUGGCUUCCACUGGUCAGAGUGCUGCCUGCAUGGUUACACAGUUCUUCACAAGUAGGCCAUUUGUUUCUAUAAGGAGCAACCAACUAGAUCUCACAGAGACAUCAAAUAAAUCCAUUUCAUACAUUAUUUGUUAACUUCA
rnacentral:lncRNA from 1 species